CGGGAAGAGCUCAAAUUUAAAAUCUGGCGGUGUAUUCCGUCCGAGUUGUAGUCUAGAGAAGCAUCAUCCGUGCUGGACCAUGUACAAGUCUCUUGGAACAGAAUGUCAGAGAGGGUGAGAAUCCCGUCUUG
rnacentral:rRNA from 1 species